rnacentral:rRNA from 1 species
AUGGCCGGCGAAGACGAGCUGAAGCUGCUGGGUACAUGGGCGAGCCCAUGGGUUUCCAGGGUGAAACUCGCGCUCCACCUCAAGGGCUUGAGCUACGAGUACGUGGAGCAGGACCUCGACAACAAGAGCGACCUCCUCCUCACGUCAAACCCGGUGCACAAGAAGGUGCCAGUGCUCAUCCACAACGGCAAGCCAAUCUGUGAGUCGGUCGUCAUUCUAGAGUACAUCGAUGAGGCCUACGGCACUACAGGCCCCUCCCUCUUGCCCACUGACCCCUACGAAUGUGCCAUUGCUCGGUUCUGGGUAGACUACAUUGACCAGAAGCUAGUCAUCCCGUGGAAAGUGGCGUUCACGGCCGACGGAGAGGAGAAGACAGAGGGGAUAAAGCAUAUGUUGGCGGUGGUGCAGACGCUAGAGGGGGCUCUCAAGGAAUGCUCCAAGGGGAAGCCCUUCUUUGGUGGUGAUAGUGUUGGAUAUGUGGACAUUGCACUAGGCGGUCUCUUGGCAUUUUUGCAAGGAACUGAAGAGCUAUGUGGUACCAAGCCCUUUGACAUCGCCAACACUCCACUUUUGUUGGCAUGGGUGGAGCGCUUCAUCGCGUUGGACGCUGCCAAGGUGGCCCUGCCAGACGUCACCAAGUUGGUUGAGUUUGCCAAGACGAAGCGGGCUCAGAUGGCUUUGUCUAUCAAGAAGUGA